GUGAGCUGCUUGGCCACCCGUGAUGCCACCCCUUCGCCUUCUUCCCAGUCCUCCCCACCCCUCAGUAUCCCAACCGUGUUACCCACCCUCAGUCUCCGAUGCCGCAUGAAGGAUUUCCCUCUGUUCCCGCGGGAUACGCCAAAAAAACCAACAACGUUUAUCGCUCUCCCGAAAAUGGACCUGUAAAUUAACGCGCUAAUGCCGUUUUAUUUAGUCUUCAAAUAUGAAUCAUGCGUCUGAUAUUCCAUCUGUGUCUGCUCGCUUGCAUAUUUAUUUCCGUGCUGUCUUCAAUCACCUCAACGGUUUCCAACUCCGUGCAGUAUGACGAUCUCAGGGAUCAGCACGUGUCUGAGACCCCGAGAGGAGCGACAGCAGCUGCGCCGGACAAUUUCACGCGAACAUCGGGUGAGCACGAGGUCACGAUCACUUAUCCCUCGCGGCUCAUCUACUACUUAAAUGACGAGUUGGAGAGCGCGUGUCAUGAUCUGGACACUCGGGCGCGGAACCAAGCCGACGAUGGACAGGAAGUCCACCUGGCCCAAGCAAGUUUCCAGCUGGAAGGCUUUGGCACCACAUUCACUUUGGACCUUACUUUGAACAAUGACCUGUUGUCUUCAGAUUAUAUGGAGAUACACUAUGAGAAAGAUAAGACCGUUCUCUCCAGGGGUGGGGAACACUGCUACUACCAUGGCCAUGUGAGAGGAAAAGAGGAGUCCCGUGUAGCUCUCUCCACCUGCAAUGGGCUUCAUGGGAUGUUUGAUGAUGGUCAUUUUGUCUACAUCAUCGAACCUCUGAAACAGACUCACACAGCGGAAACAGAGGCUCGACCCCACACUUUGCGACGCACGUCAUCGCUCCAUAUGACCUCUGUUGCAGGUGACUGGGCUGCUGGUGACCCAGUUGAUGAAAAAGAGGAGGAGAAAAGGAUUUUUGCUAGCAUGCCUUGGCUGAAGAGAAGAAGGAAAAGAGCUAUGCCACGUAACAUUUUUGAGGAAAUGAAGUAUUUGGAAAUAAUGAUUGUUGCUGACCACAACACGUUUAAAAGGCAUAAGAGUAAAAAGCACACCCGGAACUCGGCCAAAUCAGUGGUUAACCUGGUAGACGCUAUUUUUAAGGAGCAGCUGAAUACGCGGGUGGUUCUGGUCGCUGUGGAGAUUUGGACGGACAGGGAUCGGAUUCCUCUCAGUGUGAAGCCACUGGAUAUGUUAAGAGAUUUUUCAAAGUACCGACAACAAAACAUCAACACAAAUGCUGAUGCUGUGCAUCUUUUCACAAAUGUGACAUUUCAUUAUGGUCGGAGCAGUGUUGCAUAUAUUGGUGGCGUAUGUUCCAAAGGACGAGGAGUCGGUGUCAGUGAGUUCGGCAGUACAUGGACGAUGGCUGCCACUCUCUCUCAGAGCUUAGCACAAAAUCUGGGCAUCCAGUGGGAUCCUGUGAUCAGGAGGAAGGAGUGCGGCUGCAUGGAUUCAUGGGUGGGAUGUAUAAUGGAGGACACUGGUGUACAACACCCUCGCAGGUUUUCUAAAUGCAGCAUCAGUGACUACAGAAACUUCCUUCUAAGAGGGGGCGCUUCAUGUCUGUUCAACAAACCCAGUAAGCUUUUUGAGACUACAGAAUGUGGGAAUGGUUAUGUGGAAGUGGGAGAGGAAUGUGACUGUGGGGCCCGAAUGGAAUGCUAUAAAGACUGCUGUAAAAAGUGUUCGUUAUCUAAUGGAGCUCACUGCAGUGACGGCCCCUGCUGCAACGGCACGUGCCUGUUUUACCCUCGGGGAUACAGCUGUCGAUAUGCCGUGAACGACUGUGACAUAUCAGAGACUUGUUCAGGAGACUCGGGACAGUGCCCCCCUAAUCUUCAUAAACAAGAUGGCUACCCUUGCCAGCUCAAUCAGGGCCGUUGUUAUAGUGGUGAAUGUAAGACCCGGGACAGUCAGUGCAAAUACAUCUGGGGUCCAAAGGCUGGAGGGUCAGAGAAGCACUGCUAUGAAAAGUUAAAUACAGAGGGGACAGAAAAAGGGAACUGUGGGAGAGAUGGAGACAAAUGGGUCCCCUGCAGCAAACACGAUGUGUUCUGUGGGUACCUACUCUGCUCCAAUAUUGGGAGAAGCCCAAAGAUUGGGACCCUGAAAGGCGACAUCACUCCCACCACCUUUAAUCAUCAGGGGCGACUGGUGGACUGCAGUGGGGGACACGUGGUGUUGGAUGAUGACACUGAUCUAGGGUAUGUGGAAGACGGUACGCUGUGUGGCCCCUCUAUGAUGUGCCUUGAGCGGAAAUGUCUACCCAUCUCCUCCCUGAACCUCACAGCGUGUCCGUCUGGCCCGAGCGGUCGCGUCUGCUCUUCUCACGGCGUGUGCAAUAAUGAAGCAACCUGCACAUGCGAUGCAACCUGGGCAGGGACUGACUGCAGCAUGCACGACCCCCCAAAAGAGCCACCUGUCAUCGAGGACCCGGGUCCUAAGGUGAGCGUGGCCACAAACAGGCUGAUAGGGGCAGUGGCAGGGACCAUUCUGGCCCUGGGGGUGAUUUUUGGAGGCACAGGGUGGGGAAUAGAGUCCUAGCGCCACCAACCUUAUCAUAGGCUCCAUCGCAGGGGCCAUCCUGAUGGCAGCCAUAGUGCUGGGGGGGACGGGAUGGGGAUUUAAGGUAAGAGUUUAAGCGGAGAGGGGUGGAGGUUGUGUCGUAGGCAGCCUUUGUGCCAUGGCUGGCUGCCACGCCCUCUUAUCUCCCGGAAGGCCCUGGGCCCCCCUGAAAACCUAGAACAGAUCAAGAGCCCUCACCCCCCACCCGGACUCGCCCGGCACCGCUGCCUUUACUGCCUGCUUCACAGAGACCUGAAAUGUCAAGAAAAGACGAUAUGACCCUAACGCCAGUGCCAUCUAAAGGCUAAGAGAACUGCAUCCUUGCCUAGCGUGCCCUUGGGUUUUAUCAGAACCUGCUGGACUGUACAUUGUCCUGCUGCUAACACCUCUGCUGACAGUGUUAGCAUUACUUGAAUAAACAAAGGAAAGAAAAAGACGAUAGAGACAGAACGAUUGAACAUUUUUCAUCUGAAGUCACAUAGAACUGCUUCUCUAGAGCUGCCCCUGUUCCUUUGCCCACUGACCCUGAGCAUCCACACGGAGCUAUUAGUAAACCAGAUAACUAAGUGGAUGGUACUCCACUCAUCGGGGCAUUACUUCCCGUUUAACGCACCCCCUGACCUCCGGAUCCGUUCCUGGCAUGACCAGCUUCAGCUGUGGACCUCGCAUGGCAGUGGAGGGACACCAAUGCAAGAAGAACAUAACAAUGAAUAUUGUCAAAUGUAAAAACAGUACAAAUAAGAAUGAUUUGGAGACAAACAUGUAUCAGAAUAGUCACAUAGGUCACAGUUCCAGUAGGGGGGUAACCUAUGUAUGGUAUGUGUGUUUCGAGGGGCUGAAUUGACUUGACCACUGAGAUGAGAGGGACUCAUAUCUUCUUAGACAAACAUUUCAAGGCAUAAAUGUAACGUUUUUUUGUUUUGUUUUGUUAUUUCAGCAUGUUAUAUUGCAGGUAUUUUCUGUAGUAUUAAUAAAAACAAGGAAACCCGAACAAUAAAGAAAAAAAUGGUUCCUAUUGGCCAGCAGUUUAUAGUGCUGCAUAACAAAAUCACCUAUAAACUGUAGUUCAGUAGAGGCACACACUCUUGUAUAUGCCUGAUGACGUCAAUUACUGUUCCCCUUAGAAAAAACUAAAAAACUAUUAUACUGGCUGGGCCCUGUAGGACUGCCCUGACCUGAAUGCCAUUGCUGGCCAAUCAGAGAGCUGCAUGAUGUAAUUGCACUGGGGGCGGAGCCCACACAGCCUGCUGCGCUUUUCAAGGUAUCUGCAUGUCAAAGGAAAACAGUUAACAUUUACUUACUAUGCAAAGGGGACACAUUGCACAAACCGUAAGGUUUGGUGAAGAAUUCUCAAGUGAGAAAUUGAUCUCUAGCUAACAGAUCAUUAAUAAGGCAGUCUUUUAUAUGCUCGGCCAUCUAUGUUUGACAUUAUAUUAAGCUUCGGAUUACUUAAAAUGAAUGUUUCUAUGAAAAUCUCAGCUUCUUAAAAUACAAAUGUCAUUAUCAUCUGUGUGGGACACGAUCAUUUAGGCACUAAUUGGUUUUAAUAGGAUGGGGCUGUUGAAGUAGAUGGAGCUCUAAUUUUGGGCAAUGCUAAUGUAAUAAGAGCAGAAACUGAGGGUGUUUUUCUAUGCCAUCACUGAUCUACAUCAUCAGGUUUUUGACGCAUCUUCCUAACCUUGACCCCUUUUACAACCAUCUCAUGUUCCCAUGAAAACAUUGCCAUAACAAAUAAAAUAAUGACAAUAAAGAACACGUUGACAAAAACAUUCCUCUUUGAGAUUAUUAUAUAUUUUGUAUGUAUGUACUUAGUGUAGACACUUAAUGUGUCCUUUUAGAUCUGUUUAGAUUUGAUUUUAUUAUGUUCAUGUUUUAUCCGAUAGACUUUCUUAAGUAAACAAAUCAUGUUUUUCAAAAAGAUCCAACGCAUAUAGUAUUAAAAAUCUACAAUUGAUAUAAAAAUCACAUAUUAACAGUAUUCCCAUGUGUCCUGGAAAUCCUGGAAUAUUGCA